rnacentral:rRNA from 1 species
CACGCCGUAAACGAUGAAUACUAGGUGUAGGAGGUAUCGACCCCUUCUGUGCCGCAGUUAACACAAUAAGUAUUCCGCCUGGGGAGUACGGUCGCAAGAUUAAAACUCAAAGGAAUUGACGGGGGCCCGCACAAGCAGCGGAGCAUGUGGUUUAAUUCGAAGCAACGCGAAGAACCUUACCUAGACUUGACAUCCUCUGAAUUACCUGUAAUGAGGGAAGCCCUUCGGGGCAGAGAGACAGGUGG